rnacentral:rRNA from 1 species
GACAGAGGAUGCAAGCGUUAUCCGGAAUGAUUGGGCGUAAAGCGUCUGUAGGUGGCUUUUUAAGUCUGCCGUCAAAUCCCAGGGCUUAACCCUGGACAGGCGGUGGAAACUACUCGGCUAGAGUGCGAUAGGGGCAAGGGGAAUUCCCAGUGUAGCGGUGAAAUGCGUAGAUAUUGGGAAGAACACCGGUGGCGAAAGCGCCUUGCUGGGUCUGCACUGACACUGAGGGACGAAAGCUAGGGGAGCGAAAGGG